rnacentral:lncRNA from 1 species
UGCGAUGCAUGGUUAAUAUAAUAAUAUAAAAUAAUAAAAAUUAUUAUGUGAUGAUAAAAAAAAAUAUUUUAAUUAAUAUUAUAUUUUUUUAACAAAUAAAAAAAUAUACUAUCAAUCUUAAUUAUAGUACAUAUUAAAGUAUAAAAGCUAAAGAAACAAAAUUAUGAACCAAAGUAAAUACUCAUAUAAAGAGCAAAAUUCAAUCAUGCUCUAUUAUCUAUGAAUUGGUAUACAAAACAAUUUAUAUUUAUAUAUUGAAGUGCAAAACAAAAUGAGAACACAAAUUAAUAUGAAAAAUUACAAAUGACAUUAAUAUUUAAGCAUAGAGUGAGAUCAACUAAACUUCCAUUUUUUACACAAAUUAGAGUAAGCAUACGUAUAUGAAAGACAUACCAACUUUCAAGAUUCAAAUAUAUAUAGAUAUUGGUCUUCAAGAAAAUAUGAAGGAAAAAAAAAUUUUAUUGCAUGAAGAUGGAAAGCACCUGCUCCAAUAGUAAUAUAGAUAAAUUGUUA